rnacentral:sRNA from 1 species
UCAUACGAAUAAUAAGCUGUUGACCGUC